CUCCUCCGGCCGCCUCACGGAUAAGGAUCAAAGGAUCCACUAGCAUGCCUGGCCGUAACCAAGACAAAACUGUUGGAUAAAGAAGAUUGAACGAGUCUUGGAUAAAGAAGAUUGAACGAGUCGGCUUAGAUGAAUCGAUUUUGGAAUAGCUGGGACUUAGUUCGAGUCGGACUCGAGGCCCCCUCCUUUUCUUUAACCAGAGGGGGCAGCUCGUACCUGUAUAAAUAGUGUGUAUAUAUCCGAGUACCGGGUCCUCGAUCUCAAUAAUUUCGGAAGAGCGAGCUCGCACCUUCAGAAAUAUAAGCCCGGUCGACCAUUGGGUUACUGACAGAACGAUUAGUAUUACCCAUGGCGUUAAAUAACAGAGACAGUAUUGGAACUGAAGACGAAGAAGAUAGGCUCAGCUUGCUGACUGAUGAUACUUUAUUGUCUAUUUUGGGCAGAGUCGACUUACCAACAGCUGCUAGGACUAGUGUACUGUCAACACGGUGGAAACAUCUGCCUUGGUUGCUCCCUGAGCUUACCAUCGAUGUGAAAGAUUUCUUACCUUCCCCGCACCCAAAACCAAUGGAGGUUGAGCACAUGGACAAAGCAAUGUCAUCUUUAUCUAAUGCUAUCAGGAGCUUCUUGGUUGCUGAACGUGCAGUCACAAGGCUCCAACUAAGGGUCUACUUGGUUAGUGAACAUUCACUAGUUGUUGGCCCUU